rnacentral:rRNA from 1 species
GAUGAACGCUGGCGGCGUGCUUAACACAUGCAAGUCGAACGGUGAAGGCGGAGCUUGCUCUGCUGGAUCAGUGGCGAACGGGUGAGUAACACGUGAGCAAUCUGCCCCUGACUCUGGGAUAAGCGCUGGAAACGGCGUCUAAUACUGGAUACGAGCUGCGAAGGCAUCUUCAGCAGCUGGAAAGAACUUCGGUCAGGGAUGAGCUCGCGGCCUAUCAGCUUGUUAGUGAGGUAACGGCUCACCAAGGGGUCGACGGGUAGCCGGCCUGAGAGGGUGACCGGCCACACUGGGACUGAGGCACGGCGCAGACUCCUACGGGAGGCAGCAGUGGGGAAUAUUGCACAAUGGGCGAGAGCCUGAUGCAGCAACGCCGCGUGAGGGACGACGGCCUUCGGGUUGUAAACCUAUUUUAGCAGGGAAGAAGCGAAAGUGACGGUACCUGAAGAAAAAGCGCCGGCUAACUACGUG